rnacentral:rRNA from 1 species
AUGCCGCGGUGAAUACGUUCCCGGGCCUUGUACACACCGCCCGUCACACCACGAGAGCUUGCAACACCCGAAGUCGGUGAGGUAACCCUUACGGGAGCCAGCCGCCGAAGGUGGGACAAGUGAUUGGGGUGAAGUCGUAACAAGGUAGCCGUACCGGAAGGUGCGGCUGGAUCACCUCCUUUCU